UACGAAGGGGGCUAGCGUUGCUCGGAAUCACUGGGCGUAAAGCGCACGUAGGCGGCUUUCUAAGUCAGAGGUGAAAUCCUGGAGCUCAACUCCAGAACUGCCUUUGAUACUGGGGAGCUCGAGUCCGGAAGAGGUUAGUGGAACUGCGAGUGUAGAGGUGAAAUUCGUAGAUAUUCGCAAGAACACCAGUGGCGAAGGCGGCUAACUGGUCCGGUACUGACGCUGAGGUGCGAAAGCGUGGGGAGCAAACAGG
rnacentral:rRNA from 1 species